rnacentral:rRNA from 1 species
GGGUUGUGAGGUUAAGCGACUAAGCGUACACGGUGGAUGCCCUGGCAGUCAGAGGCGAUGAAGGACGUGCUAAUCUGCGAAAAGCGCCGGCGAGGUGAUAUGAACCUUUGACCCGGCGAUGUCCGAAUGGGGAAACCCAGUGUGUUUCGACACACUAUCGUUAACUGAAUACAUAGGUUAACGAGGCGAACCGGGGGAACUGAAACAUCUAAGUACCCCGAGGAAAAGAAAUCAACCGAGAUUCCCCCAGUAGCGGCGAGCGAACGGGGAGCAGCCCGGAGUCUGAAUCAGCUUGUGUGUUAGUGGAACGGUCUGGAAAGUCCGACGGUACAGGGUGAUAGUCCCGUACACGAAAAUGCACAGGUUGUGAACUCGAAGAGUAGGGCGGGACACGUGGUAUCCUGUCUGAAUAUGGGGGGACCAUCCUCCAAGGCUAAAUACUCCUGACUGACCGAUAGUGAACCAGUACCGUGAGGGAAAGGCGAAAAGAACCCCGGCGAGGGGAGUGAAAAAGAACCUGAAACCGUGUACGUACAAGCAGUGGGAGCCU